rnacentral:rRNA from 1 species
GACGAACGCUGGCGGCGUGCUUAACACAUGCAAGUCGAACGGAAAGGCCCUGCUUUUGUGGGGUGCUCGAGUGGCGAACGGGUGAGUAACACGUGAGCAACCUGCCCUUGACUUUGGGAUAACUUCAGGAAACUGGGGCUAAUACCGGAUAGGAGCUCCUGCUGCAUGGUGGGGGUUGGAAAGUUUCGGCGGUUGGGGAUGGACUCGCGGCUUAUCAGCUUGUUGGUGGGGUAGUGGCUUACCAAGGCUUUGACGGGUAGCCGGCCUGAGAGGGUGACCGGCCACAUUGGGACUGCGAUACGGCCCAGACUGCUACGGGAGGCAGCAGUGGGGAAUAUUGCACAAUGGGCGGAAGCCUGAUGCAGCAACGCCGCGUGCGGGAUGACGGCCUUCGGGUUGUAAACCGCUUUCGCCUGUGACGAAGCGUGAGUGACGGUAAUGGGUAAAGAAGCACCGGCUAACUACGUG